CAGAAAAUAAUUUAUAUAUAAAAUAUAAACUUUGGAAGUUUAAAAUGAUUAUUUCAAUCUUUUCUGA
rnacentral:tRNA from 1 species